UGAGUUUGAUCCCUGGCUCAGAUUGAACGCUGGCGGCAGGCCUAACACAUGCAAGUCGAGCGGCAGCACGGGUACUUGUACCUGGUGGCGAGCGGCGGACGGGUGAGUAAUGCCUAGGAAUCUGCCUAGUAGUGGGGGAUAACGUCCGGAAACGGGCGCUAAUACCGCAUACGUCCUACGGGAGAAAGUGGGGGAUCUUCGGACCUCACGCUAUUAGAUGAGCCUAGGUCGGAUUAGCUAGUUGGUGAGGUAAUGGCUCACCAAGGCUACGAUCCGUAACUGGUCUGAGAGGAUGAUCAGUCACACUGGAACUGAGACACGGUCCAGACUCCUACGGGAGGCAGCAGUGGGGAAUAUUGGACAAUGGGCGAAAGCCUGAUCCAGCCAUGCCGCGUGUGUGAAGAAGGUCUUCGGAUUGUAAAGCACUUUAAGUUGGGAGGAAGGGCAGUUACCUAAUACGUGAUUGUUU
rnacentral:rRNA from 1 species